GGGGGCGUAGCUCAACGGCGGAGCAGCGGGUUUAUACCCCGUAGCGCCAGAUAAGCGGCAGGUUGUGGGUUCGACUCCCACCGCCCCUU
rnacentral:tRNA from 1 species